CGCCACAGAGGCGGCUCUCGACCACCGAAGGCGCAGUCGGGCUUGGAGUCCGGCGGUGGAAGGCGAAAGCGUGAUGGUGGUGUUGGCGGCGAGACAAACGACGUUCCGGCCGUCAUGUUUCCUCAGACGAGGCGGUGACAGACGGAUCGAGGCUUGCCGUCGUGCUGUGCUCGACUGUUUGCUGCCGUUGGUGUCGCGUCGCGGCUUCGAGCCGGCGCACCUCUGUUCCUUCGAAACUAUACCUCACCGCAAAAGCUUGAAUGCCGGGGUGUGGGAAAUGGUGGCUGAAUGGCAGCGGCGCGCG
rnacentral:lncRNA from 1 species